GGUGAAGUUUGAACUCAUGUCCUUAAAGGGUCGAGAUGUGAACUACCUGCACUUGGACAAAAAAACCCUAUGAAGUUUCAUUGUUCCCUGGGAUUGGCUUUGGGAUUUUCUUGCGCACCUUAGGUGGGAGGUAAAGAAGGCCUCCUUCCGAGGGGGACAAGCUAUCAAUUCGAUCUCUGAAAGGGCUAGAAUGCUAACCUUGUGUUAACCUAAAAUGCUAAAACCUAAACGCUAAACCUAUAAGCCAAGGGAUAGUUCCAUGAAAAUAUUUUUUAUUGGGUGUAGACCUCCCAAAAGGUAAUAGGGGUGUGCAAAGGUUUCUUAGGCUAGACAAAGAUUAGCCCUUGAAUGCAAAGGCAAAAGGGAGCUUGAUUGCAAGACCUAUCGAUCGAGCAAGGACAAAACACGACCUUAAUGAUCUGACAGUGUCAAGUGGAAGGGUCAUUGCUCAAUGCAUAAAAGUUACUUUAGGGAUAAUAGGCUAAUCUUCUCCAAGAGCUUACAUCGACAGAAAGGUUUGACACCUCGAUGUUAGCUUUUCACCACUUGGGACUAUAAUAUAUUCCAAGGGUUAGGUUUUUCACCCAUUAAAGUGGUACAUGAGCUAGGUUCAAAACAUCGUGAGACAAUUUGGUCCAUAUUCGGUGUGGCAUUAGAGCAUUGAGAGAACCUUUCCCUAGUACAAGAAGAUCGGGAAUGAUGCACCUCUAGUGUACCAGAACAACCCUUUAAGGGCAUGGGUUCGAACCCCACCAAAGCCAAAUGAUAUUUCCUUGGUAUAACACCUCAAAAUAAGGCCUAGGAGUUUUAAAGGUAUUUUAGGAAUUUUAUUCU
rfam:Gossypium hirsutum cultivar TM-1 chromosome 2, whole genome shotgun sequence